rnacentral:lncRNA from 1 species
UAAAAACCUCUCAUAAAGCCCUUUGCGAUGGGCCCCACCCCCAACUCUUUAGGUUGUAUUAGUCUUCCCCUUGCUCCUGCUAUCGCUGACCUUCGUGCUGUCCUUGGAAGAUACUGGGCUUACUUCUGUUUCAGGUCUGUGGAUGUGCCCUGCCUGAAACUCACUUCCCACAGAUUAGCCACAUGUCUUGUUUUGUUCAAAUGUUACCUUGUGAGAAGCCUUUCCUAAUGACCCUUUAUUUUAAAAAAGCAAAUCUUCAUGCCUGCCCUGACACUUCCUAUUUUCUUAUUCUCCUUUAGAGUUCUUCACUGCACUAGAACCAUCUGACAUCCUGUAUAUUUGUUAUCUGUGUCCUCACUCUAAAAUGUCACAUCCAUGAGGAUAUAGGCCUUGUUUGGUUUAUGUUCUACCUGCAUGACCUACAACAGUGCCUAACACCUAGUAAGCAAUUAAAUAUUUCUUUUUUUUUUUUUUUUUUGAGGAAGACUAGCCCUGAGCUAAAUCUGCUGCAAAUCCUCCUCUUUUUUGCUGAGGAAGACUGGCCCUGAGCUAACAUCCAUGCCCAUCUUCCUCUGCUUCAUACAUGGGACGCCUGCCACAGCAUGGCUUGACAAGUGGUGCGUAGGUCCGCACCUGGGAUCCAAACCAGCGAGCCCCAGGCUGCCGGAGUGGCGCGUGUGAACUUAACCUCUGCGCCACUGAGCUGGCCCCUUAAAUAUUUCUCAAAUGAAUAAAUUAAUGAGGAUUGAAGACAAAAUGCACCAUGUCUAGGCAGUAAGAUCUUUUCUCUCCAGUUUACCAUCUUCCAUAUGUACUACUGAGUGUGUACUCUUUCUUGCUUUCUUCAUUCACUCAACAGCAUUUACUGUAUUGGGAAUCUACAAUGUGCAGACAUUAUCAUAAGUCCUAAGCAUCCAGGGAGAAAAAAUAUCCAAGGUUCUGUCAGCUAUUGACUAUGAAGGCAGUAAACUCAGUGAUGACUCCUGUGGAGUAUGGUUGAGGCAGGACUGAGGACUUGAGACCUGAAUGACAAAAAGUCAGCCAUGCAAAAGUCUGGGGCAAGAACUUCCAGCAGGGAGAACAGAGCUCCACAAAGGGUAAAGAGUCUGUUGGCAUGAAUUUCUUUAAACCACCAUACAUUUCUUACAAGCUAGAGGCUUAGCUUGUCCCUUCCACCAGGUUGAUGUUAGUCCCCAUAGGACAUGUUUGCUCACCAGGAAGUUGCUG